AACAGUGCAUUACUGAUCAUAUUCAAUCCAGGUUGGGUGUUCUGUUUUAUGUCUGCAAGCAACACCUGAACUCAAUUAUUAGCCUUUAGCCUAACUAAUAUGUUAUUAACCAUUGUGAUGUCUUAAGGGUAAAAAAAUGACCAGCCACUAUGUUUCUGACCCGGCAGUUAUACAAUCCUUUACACACCACAAAAACCACCAAGAUGCAAUGAGAAAUUGAGAUUAUGUGCGACUGAUUGAACUAAAUAUGAGUGCACGUUUCAGUGCCCAACAGGUCGUAGAUCUGAAUUUUUCAGAUGUCCAGGAGGAAUAAGAGAACAAUGAUUUAGAAGAGGUGGUAUCUGAAGAAGAAGAUAGGGAAGAAUACAACCCAGAGCAUGAUGCAUCAUCUUUAGAUGAAGAAAUCCCCCAAACUGAAAGAUACAAUUUUGUCAAAGAGCAGCAAAAUAACAUGGUUGGUGUCCACUGAUUGUGAAGAAGGAAAGCCCAUAUAUAUUCAAAGUUUGUAAUGAAUGACAGGUUGUUUCUUUGUGCAAAAUAUAUAUGGGGUUUAAAAUUAAAUUAAGCUGCUUUAUUUUAGGGGCUUAGUGAAGGCAGGUCAUGUUUUACCCUUAGGUCAAGGGGAGUAUACAGAAUGUUAAGGCUACACAAGGGUUAACAUAACCUAAAUGUAGCAUAGCCACCCCACCAUACACAUAGAGCUGAUGCAUCUAAAUAGCAUCUUUAUUUGGAGACCGAUUGAGAAUGUGUUGUAUUACCCCAUGUAUAAAUGCUGGCAAAUCCUCAAAUGGGAACGAUGUAAAAAUAUUUGAUUUAAAUCAUGUUGUAAACAUUGCCCUCUACUGAUGGAAAUUAGUAUCUUCAUGUGUUCCUGGGAUUUGGUCAGACAGGAUAUUUGAACUUUCAGACAAAAUGGCAGUAGGUAAUUGUAAUUUUGUCUACGCUGGUGCUCCUAAAAGGUAGAGAAUGUAUGUAUAUGUAACAAAAAAUCUGUAAAAACAAAAAAAGCAAUGUUUGUUUUCCAAAGAGGGUUGAUGGGUUAUUAAAAAAAUACACUACUGACUUUUCGUCCUCAUGCUAGCUAGCAGUAGCCACCGCAGCCAAUUUGGAAUAGCAUUGUCAUUUCAGUGGACAUGCCAUUCCAUAAUGGCUGCUGUGACUACUGCUAUUUAGCAUGAGCACGAAAAUGACUUUUCUGGGAAAACUAGCAGAAUUUCCAACUUCUCGGUGGAGCCGUGUGGAUAAAGGCUGCUGAAGCACCAUGAUUCUGCCCCGUCAAGCAUUAUAUCCAGUAGUUGGUAGAACAUAUGAACUGUCCCACAGCAUUUCUUCUCUCCCCCGGGCUGUUCAGGAGGACGACCGGUUCCUUCAGAGUGUUUAACCCGGCACCAAAUGAGACACUUGCCAGUCUCACUGAGCUACUGCUGUGGAGCUGAUGGAGCUAAGCGGGUCAGACAAGGCCUCUUCCUGUUAAUUCAGUAGUGCUGCCGCCUGGACCUGAGGGGCAGAUUUAAAUUACAAUGUUCACUAGAUUUCUCUAAAGCACUGGGAGGCAAAAGUUCUGUAGGAUCCCAUCUAUAUUUUCUGUUGAAUAUAGAAAAAGCAGAUGCAGCCAAAAGGUUCAGGAACACCUGGCGACAUUAAAUCCUGCCCUCCUUGGCAGUCCAGUUUGAAUCAUGUUGGAUGCAAAAGUUAGAACUAAGAACCCCUCUGAGACCAGUCCACAGGAAAGACAGGUUUGAAGUGUGUACUGAUCUACAAGCUCUAGAAUAGUUAUGGAAUAGUCGAAGGGUAUUAUGUGACAUAUCAAGUCUCACCAGAUAUCAACUGAGCUCUUAAAAUCAGAAACAGUAAGGGUGGAUACAUCAUAUGACAACACCAUCAAAUGUGCAGAUUAAAAUAUUAAGAAUAUUAUGAUCUGCCUGCCUAUUAAUCUGCCUAUAAUGCCCACCUAUUCAUGAGCCAAUGACACCCCCCUCCCUUCUGCUCUCCCAUCUGUCAUUUCAUUAACUAGCGGCAUUUCAUCAAGCAAGGUAUCAUUUCACUGACAUUUGUGUGGUUCCAAUAACUAUUUUAAUUUCAUCCUUCCAAGCCAUUUGCGUGUUCAGCCACCUGGCUCAUGUAUACACUGGAUUGGCCUUUCAUUAGAGAUUUUCCUCCAUGAUCCCAGCUGUGCCAACAUUCAUGAAAUACAAAGGGGCGGCAGCGUAGCCUAGUGGUUAGAGCGUUGGACUAGUAACCGAAAGGUUGCAAGUUCAAAUCCCCGAGCUGACAAGGUACAAAUCUGUCGUUCUGCUCCUGAACAGGCAGUUAACCCACUGUUCCUAGGCCGUCAUUUAAAAUAAGAAUUUGUUCUUAACUGACUUGCC